rnacentral:rRNA from 1 species
ACGGAAGGCAGCAGUGGGGAAUAUUGGACAAUGGGGGAAACCCUGAUCCAGCGACGCCGCGUGAGUGAAGAAGUAUUUCGGUAUGUAAAGCUCUAUCAGCAGGGAAGAUAAUGACGGUACCUGACUAAGAAGCCCCGGCUAACUACGUGCCAGCAGCCGCGGCAAUACGUAGGGGGCAAGCGUUAUCCGGAUUUACUGGGUGUAAAGGGAGCGUAGACGGCAUGGUAAGUCUGAUAUGAAAACCCAGGGCUCAACCCUGGGACUGCAUUGGAAACUAUCAAGCUAGAGUGCAGGAGAGGUAAGUGGAAUUCCUAGUGUAGCGGUGAAAUGCGUGGAUAUUAGGAGGAACACCAGUGGCGAAGGCGGCUUACUGGACUGUAACUGACGUUGAGGCUCGAAAGCGUGGGGAGCAAACAGGAUUAGAUACCCUGGUA